AAUAAUCUUAUUUUUCGUUUUUUCGUGUCCAACAUUUGACUAUUCGUCUUAUUUGAAAUUUUUUUGCGAUUAAUAUUUUUAUUAUUACUAGAUGAUAAAAUAUAAAUAGUAUUUUAUACGUGACAAAUUUUGUUAGAUUUUUGCACAAAAUUUUCAAAUAAGACAAAUGGUCAAACGUUGGACAUGGAAAA
rnacentral:pre_miRNA from 1 species